rnacentral:rRNA from 1 species
AUUGAACGCUGGCGGCAUGCCUUACACAUGCAAGUCGAACGGCAGCACGGGUGUUUGCACCUGGUGGCGAGUGGCGAACGGGUGAGUAAUACAUCGGAACACGUCCUGUAGUGGGGGAUAGCCCGGCGAAAGCCGGAUUAAUACCGCAUACGAUCUACGGAUGAAAGCGGGGGACCUUCGGGCCUCGCGCUAUAGGGUUGGCCGAUGGCUGAUUAGCUAGUUGGUGGGGUAAAGGCCUACCAAGGCGACGAUCAGUAGCUGGUCUGAGAGGACGACCAGCCACACUGGGACUGAGACACGGCCCAGACUCCUACGGGAGGCAGCAGUGGGGAAUUUUGGACAAUGGGCGAAAGCCUGAUCCAGCAAUGCCGCGUGUGUGAAGAAGGCCUUCGGGUUGUAAAGCACUUUUGUCCGGAAAGAAAUCCUUGGCUCUAAUACAGUCGGGGGAUGACGGUACCGGAAGAAUAAGCACCGGCUAACUACGUG